GCGGCAUGCCUAACACAUGCAAGUCGAACGAGACCUUCGGGUCUAGUGGCGCACGGGUGCGUAACGCGUGGGAAUCUGCCCUUCGGUUCGGAAUAACUCAGGGAAACUUGAGCUAAUACCGGAUAAUGACUUCGGUCCAAAGAUUUAUCGCCGAGGGAUGAGCCCGCGUAGGAUUAGCUUGUUGGUGAGGUAAAGGCUCACCAAGGCGACGAUCCUUAGCUGGUCUGAGAGGAUGAUCAGCCACACUGGGACUGAGACACGGCCCAGACUCCUACGGGAGGCAGCAGUGGGGAAUAUUGGACAAUGGGCGAAAGCCUGAUCCAGCAAUGCCGCGUGAGUGAUGAAGGCCUUAGGGUUGUAAAGCUCUUUUACCCGGGAUGAUAAUGACAGUACCGGGAGAAUAAGCCCCGGCUAACUCCGUGCCA
rnacentral:rRNA from 1 species